rnacentral:rRNA from 1 species
GACGAACGCUGGCGGCGUGCUUAACACAUGCAAGUCGAACGAAGUGGCGAACGGGUGAGUAACGCGUAAUCAACCUGCCCUUCAGAGGGGGACAACAGUUGGAAACGACUGCUAAUACCGCAUACUGAAGGAGGGGAUUGCGUCUGAUUGGCUAGUUGGAGGGGUAACGGCCCACCAAGGCGAUGAUCAGUAGCCGGUCUGAGAGGAUGAACGGCCAAAUUGGGACUGGGGAACGGCCCAGACUCCUACGGGAGGCAGCAAGGGGGAAUCUUCCGAAAGGGACGAAAGUCUGACGGAGCAACGCCGCGUGGGUUAUGACGGCCUUCGGGUUGGAAAGCUAUGUUAAUCGGGACGCGGUACCGGAAGAGAAAGCAACGGCUAACUACGUGCCAGCAGCCGCGGUAAUAC